rnacentral:rRNA from 1 species
UGCCAGCCGCCGCGGUAAUACGGAGGGUGCAAGCGUUGUUCGGAAUUACUGGGCGUAAAGCGCGCGUAGGUGGUCUUGUAAGUCUGAUGUGAAAUCCCGGGGCUCAACCCCGGACGUGCAUUGGAUACUGCUUGACUAGAGUUCUGGAGAGGAAAGUGGAAUUCCUGGUGUAGGGGUGAAAUCCGUAGAGAUCAGGAGGAACAUCAGCGGCGAAGGCGGCUUUCUGGACAGAUACUGACACUGAGGCGCGAAAGCGUGGGGAGCAAACAGGAUUAGAUA